rnacentral:rRNA from 1 species
UCGGGAGAUACAUCAGCGGCAGACGGGUGAGUAACACGUAGGUGACCUGCCCUAAAGAUGGGGACAACGGAUGGAAACAUGCGCUAAUACCCAAUGGACCUGUGAUGUCAGAGUCAUAGGUAAAGCUUCGGCGCUUUAGGAGGGGCCUGCGGCCCAUCAGCUAGUUGGUAGGGUAACGGCCUACCAAGGCAAAGACGGGUAGGGGGUGUGAGAGCAUGACCCCCCACAAUGGGACUGAGACACGGNCCAUACUCCUACGGGAGGCAGCAGCAGGGAAUAUUGCACAAUGGACGGAAGUCUGAUGCAGCGACGCCGCGUGGAUGACGAAGGCCUUCGGGUUGUAAAAUCCUUUUCAGGGGGACGAGAACGGACGGUACCCUUGGAAUAAGCGUCGGCUAACUACGUGCCAGCAGCCGCGGUAAGACGUAUGACGCAAGCGUUAUCCGGAUUUACCGGGCGUAAAGCGUCUGUAGGCGGUUGAGUAAGUUGGGCGUGAAAGCUCCGGGCUUAACCCGGAGAGGUCGUUCAAUACUGCUUAACUAGAGGACAUCAGAGGAGCAUGGAAUUUCCGGUGUAGCGGUAAAAUGCGCAGAUAUCGGAAAGAACACCAGUGGCGAAGGCGGUGCUCUGGGGUGGGCCUGACGCUGAGAGACGAAAGCUAGGGGAGCGAACAGGAUUAGAGACCCUGGUAGUCCUAGCCCUAAACGAUGGAUGCUAGAUGUAGGGCCGAGAAGGCUCUGUGUCGCAGUUAACGCGGUAAGCAUCCCGCCUGGGGAUUACGGCCGCAGGGCUAAAACUCAAACGAAUUGACGGGGCCCCGCACAAGCAGCGGAGCGUGUGGUUUAAUUCGAUGCUACACGAAGAACCUUACCUGGGUUUGACAUGUACGUGGUAGUGAAGCGAAAGCGGAGCGACCCUUCGGGGAGCGUACACAGGUGCUGCAUGGCUGUCGUCAGCUCGUGCCGUGAGGUGUCGGGUUAAGUCCCGUAACGAGCGCAACCCUUGCCCUUAGUUACAAGUGUCUAAGGGGACUGCCGGCGGUAAGCCGGAGGAAGGUGGGGAUGACGUCAAGUCAGCAUGGCCCUUAUAUCCAGGGCUACACACACGCUACAAUGGUCAGUACAAAGGGCAGCGAAGCCGCGAGGUGAAGCGAAUCCCACCAAAGCUGAUCUAAGUUCGGAUUGCAGGCUGCAACUCGCCUGCAUAAAGCUGGAGUUGCUAGUAACCGCGCGUCAGCCAUAGUGCGGUGAUACGUUCCCGGGGCUUGUACACACCGCCCGUCACGUCAUGGAAGUCGGUAACGCCUGAAGCUGGUAGUCUGGCCUUAACAGGGGACGCCAUCUAAGGCGGGGCUGGCAACUGGGACGAAGUCG